rnacentral:lncRNA from 1 species
AGCUCCUUUCAGAUAGAGACAAGGGAUAUUUGACUUCUUAUCUCUGUUGUCCAGCACAAUGUCCAGAACACAACAGAUAUUCCAUAUGCACAGUCACAUGCUAUGUAUGUGUAUUUUCUUUCCAGAAAGGACUAGAGGUCCUAAGCUUUGUUAAUAUCAUGAGCCAGUGCCCACAUGAGCAGGAGAAUUUUAGCACAGUCACCUACACACUCAUUUCGAUGCUCUGACCCCUUAUCCAAGCCAGUCAAAGUGUGGUCUAUGGUUUUGCAUUUUAAAGAGAUCCCUGGGUGAAUCUUGUGCAUGUUACAGGGAAGCACUGUCCUACAUCCUAUGUGACAGGCUCUCAUAGUCACCAUCAUCAUGGGAAUCUUGCACAUGUUACAGGGAAGCACUGUCCUACAUCAUAUGUGACAGGCUCUCAUAGUCACCAUCAUCACGGGAAUCUUGCACAUGUUACAGGGAAGCACUGUCCUACAUCGUAUGUGACAGGCUCUCAUAAUCACCAUCAUCAUGUGAUCUUGUGCAUGUUACAGGGAAGCACUGUUCUACAUCGUAUCUGACAGGCUCUCAUAGUCACCAUCAUCACAGGAAUCUUGUGCAUGUUACAGGGAAGCACUGUCCUACAUCAUAUGUGACAGGCUCUCAUAGUCACCAUCAUCACAGGAAUCUUGUGCAUGUUACAGGGAAGGACUGUCCUACAUCGUAGGUGACAGGCUCUCAUAAUCACCAUCAUCACGGGAAUCUUGUGCAUGUUGCAGGGAAGCACUGUCCUACAUCGUAUGCGACAGGGUCUCAGAGUCACCAUCAUCGUGGGAAUCUUGUGCAUGUUACAGGGAAGCACUGUCCUACAUCAUAUGUGACAGGCUCUCAUAGUCACCAUCAUCACGGGAAGCUGCAUUUAGAGCAUUUAACUGUAUGGGCUCUGAAAUCAGAUGACUUAGGUUUGGGCUUGCCUCUACUUCUUACUAAGCAGAGAACUUUGGGGCAUGAUACUUAAUUUUACUAGGCUCAGUUUUAUCAUGUGUAAAUUGGAGGCAAGGGGAAAUUAUAGCAUUUUGCAUAGAAUAUUGUUUUAAGUAUGAA